CAUCAAAGGCUAAAUAGUGGUGGGAGACCGAUAGCGAACAAGUACCGUGAGGGAAAGAUGGAAAGAACUUUGAAAAGAGAGUGAAAAGCACUUGAAACCGUCACGGGGGAAGCGGAUUGCGUGAGUGAUGGUGUCGCUUGUUCAGCGCUUUAUUGCGUGCAUUCUGGCGGCGCCGUGCCGGCGUGGCUGGCUGGACUGUGAUUUUGACAGUCUCGGCUGGUGAGGGCUCCCUCGUAUGAGGUGAGGACGCGGGCAAAAUGACGCAAUACGACCCGUCUUGAAACACGGACCAAGGAGUCUAGCACGGCUGCGAGUCGAAGAGUGAUUAAACUCAAGGGCGCAGUGAAAGCGAAAUUAUAAGCAAAUUGGGGAGGCGUUGCGUUUUUAACAAAAUGUCCUACCUCGAGCAUUUGUGCUGGGACCCGAAAGAUGGUGAACUAUGCCGGAGUAGGGCAAAGCCAGAGGAAACUCUGGUGGAGGCUCGUAGCGAUGCUGACGUGCAAAUCGCUCGUCGAACUUGGGUAUAGGGGCGAAAGACUAAUCGAACCAUCUAGUAGCUGGUUCCCUCCGAAGUUUCUCUCAGGAUAGCGGGCCGACACGCGUUUGUUGUUUUGUGCGGUAAAGCGAAUGAUUAGUGCAUUUGGGGUACGAAGUACUUCGGGCGAUUCUCAAACUUUAAAUGCGCAAGGGGGUGGCUGCUUAAUUG
rnacentral:rRNA from 1 species